rnacentral:rRNA from 1 species
AAGGUUUCCAGCCUGUCUGGGUUAGGACCUUGAAGACGUGGGGUCCAAUGAGAAUUAGGUUGUAGCUCCAGCGUUGGAAAAAACAGCUAUACUUGAGAGUUUCUUUUUAAUGCGACAAUAGGGAUUCCAUAAAAGAAGAAAAAAGGUUGGUCAAACCUAGGAAGCAAAUGUAUAAACAUAACGGAAAUUUCUUUUCGAUUUAGAGAAAAGGACAGCGGGGUUGGUUUUAUGGAAAGUUAGAGAAUUUCUAAUUAAAAGGGAGGGUUCUUUAACCCAAACAUCAUUUUUAGAUAUCCCAGAAGAGCAGAAAAUUUGAAUAAAAACGAAAAAAUGUUUUUUUAUUUUAAGUUGAGAAAAAGAGCCUCUGUCGAAUUUGGAGUAACUUAGCAAGUAAGGUCGGUAGUUAAUUUUCUGAUAACUAAUACGAUGGAAGCGUGCCAGUCUUAAGGCGCCGAGAA